UGGAGCAUGUGGUUUAAUGUCGAAGAUACGCGAAGAACCUUACCUGGCGUUGACAUUGAUAGAAUCUGCUAGAGAUAGCGGAGUGCCCUUCGGGGAGCUUGAAAACAGGUGCUGCACGGCUGUCGUCAGCUCGUGUCGUGAGAUGUUGGGUUAAGUCCCGCAACGAGCGCAACCCUCGUCACUAGUUACUAACGGUUCGGCCGAGGACUCUAGUGAGACUGCCUUCGUAAGGAGGAGGAAGGUGAGGACGACGUCAAGUCAUCAUGGCCCUUACGGCCAGGGCGACACACGUGCUACAAUGGGAUGUACAAUGAGACGCAAUACCGCGAGGUGGAGCAAAUCUAUAAAGCAUCUCUCAGUUCGGAUUGUAGUCUGCAACUCGACUACAUGAAGCUGGAAUCACUAGUAAUCGUAGAUCAGCCAUGCUACGGUGAAUACGUUCCCGGGUCUUGUACUCACCGCCCGUCACACCAUGGGAGUUGAUUUCACCCGAAGCGGGGAAGCUAAACUGGCUACCCUCCACGGUGGAAUCAGCGACUGG
rnacentral:rRNA from 1 species